rnacentral:rRNA from 1 species
UACGUAGGUGGCAAGCGUUGUCCGGAUUUACUGGGUGUAAAGGGCGCGUAGGCGGGGAUGCAAGUCAGAUGUGAAAUCUAUGGGCUUAACCCAUAAACUGCAUUUGAAACUGUGUCUCUUGAGUGUCGGAGAGGUAGAUGGAAUUCCUAGUGUAGCGGUGAAAUGCGUAGAUAUUAGGAGGAACACCAGUGGCGAAGGCGAUCUACUGGACGAUAACUGACGCUGAGGCGCGAAAGCGUGGGGAGCAAACAGG